GCUUUAGUGGUCCAAGAGGAGGCUAGCUCAACCUCACACUCGCACACAUAUAUACACACACACACUCGCUCACACUCAACACACCCAGUGAAUAGGGCGGUUGAGAGGACCGAAACACUGUGAAGUAGUGGCAGUGCUUCUGCGGGCAGUGUGUUGGUCUCCAGUUCUUCAGAGACGAGGUUGAACUCCUCUGCACAGCUGACAGAAUCCGGUUGCCUGGCUAAGAUGAAUGGCGAGUGUGUAAAGGAGUUGACACCACAACACUUACUGGGAGGCAGCGCAAGCGGCCCCGGGUGACCUGCGAUUCAAGCCCCAGAUUAUGGUUGUUCAUUGUUUGUUUCUCUACUUCGCUGUAGUUGAGCCGCAGACUAUUGCAGUGGCGUACACACACAGAGUAAACCUUUCUCCUGCCAGGCAGAUUGAUCAGAUCCGAUUAGACCUGUGCGAGCCGUACGAGUCGAGCGGUCCUCACAAACCUGUGUUUAAUUACAGCAUGCAAAAUUUAGAUCUCGGUGAAUUUAAAUUAAAUCGAGACAUUAAAUUGAAAUGUUAUUGUUAUGUCUAGUCACACUGUUAUAUACUAUUAUACACUCCUCACUCACAUAGCUACAUCCCUGUUUCUGUUUUAUUGUACUUAAUGAAUAAUUCAUAGAUGUUACUGUACUGUAAGCCAUAUAACUUAAUAUUAAGCCAGGACUUAAAGGGGUUAAUAUAUUGAUAGCGAUGCAAUAUGAGCAGUUUGUAGAUCUUGCGGUCUAAAACAGUCAUCCGUCUCUUUUUCUGUUCCCAUGAUUCUGAAAGUAUUAAUGUAUUAUUCAAACAUAACUCCAGAAGAAAUUAAUCAAAACCCAUUGAACCACUGGUGUGUCAUGGGGCUUGGAUUCAAACACUGUUUUCCACCGUCUGGAAAAUUACGAAUUUAAACCAGCCUUUCGUCACCGGUUGUUAUUCAGAUUUACCUUUAAUGUGCGUAGGGUAUAAAUCGAAGUCUUUUCAACUAAAUGAUUCAUACGCGUAACCUCUAAAUACGCCCCCCCCCCACCCCGGAGUGCAUACGUGAGACUCUUUUUCAACUCCCCAAAUCUUUAACAUUUACAUUUUAAAUUUGUAUCCAAGGAUAAAAAAAAAAAAUCAUGUUUCCUUUUUUUUCUAUAUGAUUAUACACCCUGUAUAUUGCAGGCGGUGUUUUCUCCUGGCCAGUGAUCAAUCAGAGUGUGGUAUAUGACAGGAUUUCAGUUUCCACAGUUGCUCAAAAUAAUGAAGGCCUUGCUGUUGCUGCUGGCUCUGAAAUGGGCCUUUAGUGACAGAGCCAAACCACCCUGAGCACGAGACCUUCAGCCUGCUUUUUAUAAAGGCAAUGACAACCAGCACAGCACGGCUCACAUCCCGCUGUUGCUGAUGUGAUCGCAGGCCGGUCAGAGCUCGAACAAAGAGGUUUUGGGCUUCACAUGAACAGCAGGUGUGCUUCCCCUCCGAGUCAAUUUCCUACCUACGGUGGCUCGCUCUCUCUGCCUUGAUUUCUCACCUCGGCAAUAUCCAGCGCUGAUAUUCCAGCCUCUUUCGAGGUCACGCCAUGCAUCUGCUUUUCACCGCUCGGAAAAGGGAGGGGACGUAUCUUUAGGGACACUGCACUCGUUGCUGUGUUUUGUUUUCCACACCUUUUGCCAUAUUCCCAGCGUAAUACUGUUACUUUUUGGAUUUCUCUCGCUGUUUUUUCACCACAGGCGGUCAGUUUCAUGCAAACCAUUUCUAAUUCUGUUGUGUUUAAGCGUAAUAUUAUCAUCACAUCUCUUUUUUUUUUUUUUGGAAUGAAAUCCUUUUUGACAGGAAUGAUGUGACAUUUAAGGUGGUAGAGAUGCUGUAGCUGUGCUGCAGUAUACUGAGCUGAUCCAUGGUCUCAUGAAAGCAUUGAGACCUAAUUGCUUGCUCAUUGAGAUGUUUUUUUUUUUUUUACAAUUUAAACCAGCUUUGUUCUUUGAUCUUUUGUAUUAUUAUGAGUAUUGAGUAGUAUUAAUAUUAACGUUAGUAUAACAGCAGACCUUGGACAAGGUGAUGUACACAGUAUUUCUUCAAUUCUGACUUAACCGUAAGCAAUUUCAAAAAAUCGAAGUUGCUUUUAAUUGGUUGAUUGAUUUGAUUGUAUUAAUAUUUUAUACUUCAUCAUUUCUAUUACAUUUAUUGUGUUUGUAAAGUAAAUGUCGGAUAAUCCUCUAAUGCUCAAGCUUUCAGUAUCUGAUCUAUCAUGUGUUCUCUAACGCUUAUGAACCCACACGAGUGAAAACAUGUUCAGUUAGUUGGUGUUAUAUAAGCGUAAUAUUUAUUCCACGCACUGAUAAAGUUCUGAGAGUGAGGACGAGGAAGCGAGUUCAUGCCUCUUACGCUUUCUUACUUGCCACAUGCUGCCAUAGCAACUAGCAAUGCUAACAGAGAUGUCAUUAACGUGAUGUCCAUUACUGUUGAAGUGUCUCACCUGUGGAAAUGAGGCAUCCUUAAUUCUAAUAGUGUGACAGUGCUCAAGCAAACAGUCAACCAAUUUACAGUUCAUUGCAUCUUUUACAGGAAGCCCAGCAAACAGCGCUUUUGAAUGAUGGGUGCGAACUUUCCUCCUCUUUCCUCCUGAAGAUCUCAACACGUACUGCACUUCUAAAGCUCUGUAUUUUUAUUGUCAAGCGCCUUUUUGCCAAAAUACUUCUGCGUCUUCGACUUCUGGACACCGUGACACGGUCUACUUAUUUGCUAGCAACCAAACCUAUCCGUUAAAGGGCACUCAGAAGUGUCUGAGAUAUAUACAUUCCCUGUUAAAUCAAUGAAAAUUAA